UACGUAGGGUCCGAGCGUUGUCCGGAUUUAUUGGGCGUAAAGAGCUCGUAGGCGGUUCGGCAAGUCGAAUGUGAAAUCUCCACGCUCAACGUGGAGGGGUCAUUCGAUACUGCCGUGACUCGAGUCCGGUAGGGGAGUGUGGAAUUCCCGGUGUAGCGGUGAAAUGCGCAGAGAUCGGGAGGAACACCCGUAGCGAAGGCGGCACUCUGGGCCGGUACUGACGCUGAGGAGCGAAAGCGUGGGGAGCAAACAGG
rnacentral:rRNA from 1 species